GACGAACGCUGGCGGCGUGCCUAAUACAUGCAAGUUGAGCGCUGAAGGUUGGUACUUGUACCAACUGGAUGAGCAGCGAACGGGUGAGUAACGCGUGGGGAAUCUGCCUUUGAGCGGGGGACAACAUUUGGAAACGAAUGCUAAUACCGCAUAAAAACUUUAAACACAAGUUUUAAGUUUGAAAGAUGCAAUUGCAUCACUCAAAGAUGAUCCCGCGUUGUAUUAGCUAGUUGGUGAGGUAAAGGCUCACCAAGGCGAUGAUACAUAGCCGACCUGAGAGGGUGAUCGGCCACAUUGGGACUGGGACACGGCCCAAACUCCUACGGGAGGCAGAAGUAGGGAAUCUUCGGCAAUGGAAGAAAGGCUGACCGAGCAACGCCGCGUGAGGGAAGAAGGGUGUCGGAUCGUAAAACUCGGUUGGUAGAGAAGAACGUUGGUGAGAGUGGAAAGCUCAUCAAGUGACGGUAACUACCCAGAAAGGGACGGCUAACUACGUG
rnacentral:rRNA from 1 species